CUAGGACUUCAGAGGAACAAAAAAGCAUCCAAGCACCCAACAGUGUUUUUGCCAGAAAAUCCUUCAUCCUUGUGACAAUGUAUAAUUCUGGUUCAUGCUAGGUUCACAAACUUCUUUAUUUCUGUAUCCUUCUUUGGCUACUCUUUGUCUAUGACCCAUAACUGUUGAUACCCCGAAGCCUUACUGCUUGGAUCCUGCUUUCCUCUUCAAUAACUUUGGAGGAUUUUACCUAAUGCUGAAGAGAAUGCGAAGAAAUCCUCUGCAUCCACUGUACAACUACACUAAAAGUAGCCGGCAGGGAAACUGACCUAUAAAUACUCUGAGCACGUGAAUGUUGCUGCUCUCAGAGGGAAGGAAUCCAUCAAAUACUGGUUAUCUUUCUACAAUUCCUGGUAAGAUGUUAGGUGCCUGGAACGGACCUAAGCAGUAUUUGAAUGAAUGAAUGCACAAAGAAUUAAGUUACAGGGAGAAUGAGGGGCCCUGUGUGCCAUGC
rnacentral:lncRNA from 1 species